CCUACGGGGGGCUGCAGUGGGGAAUAUUGCACAAUGGGCGCAAGCCUGAUGCAGCCAUGCCGCGUGUGUGAAGAAGGCCUUCGGGUUGUAAAGCACUUUCAGCGGGGAGGAAGGCGGUGAGGUUAAUAACCUCAUCGAUUGACGUUACCCGCAGAAGAAGCACCGGCUAACUCCGUGCCAGCAGCCGCGGUAAUACGGAGGGUGCAAGCGUUAAUCGGAAUUACUGGGCGUAAAGCGCACGCAGGCGGUCUGUCAAGUCGGAUGUGAAAUCCCCGGGCUCAACCUGGGAACUGCAUUCGAAACUGGCAGGCUAGAGUCUUGUAGAGGGGGGUAGAAUUCCAGGUGUAGCGGUGAAAUGCGUAGAGAUCUGGAGGAAUACCGGUGGCGAAGGCGGCCCCCUGGACAAAGGCUGACGCUCAGGUGCGAAAGCGUGGGGAGCAAACAGGAUUAGAUACCCCUGUAGUC
rnacentral:rRNA from 1 species